UACGUAGGGUGCGAGCGUUAAUCGGAAUUACUGGGCGUAAAGCGUGCGCAGGCGGCGGCUCAAGUCAGGUGUGAAAUCCCCGGGCUUAACCUGGGAAUUGCGCUUGAAACUAGGUCGCUAGAGUGUGGCAGAGGGGGGUGGAAUUCCACGUGUAGCAGUGAAAUGCGUAGAGAUGUGGAGGAAUACCGAUGGCGAAGGCAGCCCCCUGGGAUAACACUGACGCUCAUGCAACCGAAAGCGUGGGGAGCAAACAGG
rnacentral:rRNA from 1 species